AGUGAACGUUGGCGGCGUGGAUUAGGCAUGCAAGUCGAGCGAGAACCGUAGCAAUACGGGGACAGCACGAAAGGGACAGUAAUGUGUAGGUACCUACCUCCGGGUUCGGGAUAGCUGCGGGAAACUGCAGGUAAUACCGAAUAAUGUCUCCGGACCAAAGGUGUGAUUCCACAUGGAGAGGGGCCUGCAUCCUAUUAGCUGGUUGGCGGGGUAACGGCCCACCAAGGCGACGAGGGGUAGCGGGUGUGAGAGCACGACCCGCGUCAUUGGGACUGAGACACUGCCCAGACACCUACGGGUGGCUGCAGUCGUGAAUCUUCGGCAAUGGGCGCAAGCCUGACCGAGCGACGCCGCGUGCGGGAUGAAGGCCUUCGGGUUGUAAACCGCUGUCGUAGAGGAGGAAAUGCAGGGGGGUCCUCCCCUCUGUUUGACCUAUUCUAGGAGGAAGUACGGGCUAAGUUCGUGCCAGCCGCCGCAGUAA
rnacentral:rRNA from 1 species